UACAGAGGGUGCGAGCGUUGUCCGGAAUCACUGGGCGUAAAGGGCGCGUAGGCGGUCUGGUAAGCGUGUGGUGAAAGCUCGGGGCUCAACCCCGAGUCGGCCGUGCGAACUGCGAGACUGGAGCAGAUCAGAGGCAGGCGGAAUUCCGGGUGUAGCGGUGGAAUGCGUAGAGAUCCGGAAGAACACCGGUGGCGAAGGCGGCCUGCUGGGAUCUUGCUGACGCUGAGGCGCGACAGCGUGGGGGAGCAAACAGG
rnacentral:rRNA from 1 species